ACAGAGGAGACAGGUGGUGCAUGGUUGUCGUCAGCUCGUGUCGUGAGAUGUUGGGUUAAGUCCCGCAACGAGCGCAACCCUUACCUUCAGUAGCCAGCGGUUCGGCCGGGCACUCUGGAGGGACUGCCAGGGACAACCUGGAGGAAGGUGGGGAUGACGUCAAAUCAUCAUGCCCCUUAUGAUCUGGGCUACACACGUGCUACAAUGGCGUAAACAAAGGGAAGCGAGACAGUGAUGGCAAGCAAAUCUCAGAAAUAACGUCUCAGUUCGGAUUGCAGUCUGCAACUCGACUGCAUGAAGCUGGAAUCGCUAGUAAUCGCGAAUCAGAAUGUCGCGGUGAAUACGUUCCCGGGUCUUGUACACACCGCCCGUCACACCAUGGGAGUUGACAACGCCCGAAGUCAGUGACCCAACCGAAAGGAGGGAGCUGCCGAAGGCGGGGUUGAUAACUGGGGUGAAGUCGUAACAAGGUAGCCGUAUUGGAAGGUGCGGCUGGAUCACCUC
rnacentral:rRNA from 1 species